rnacentral:rRNA from 1 species
CGAAUGCUGACGUGAGUAACGACAAAACGGGUGAAAAACCCGUUCGCCGAAAGACCAAGGGUUCCAGUCCAACGUUAAUCGGGGCUGGGUGAGUCGACCCCUAAGGCGAGGCCGAAAGGCGUAGUCGAUGGGAAAAUGGUUAAUAUUCCAUUACUUCUGUGUAAUGCGAUGAGAGGACGGAGAAGGCUAAAUCAGCCUGGCGUUGGUUGUCCAGGUGAAAGGAUGUAGGCAUGUAUCUUAGGCAAAUCCGGGGUACUCUAUGCUGAGAUCUGAUAGCAAGCUGUACUU